UACGUAGGGGGCAAGCGUUGUCCGGAAUUAUUGGGCGUAAAGAGCGUGUAGGCGGUCCGGUAAGUCGGCUGUGAAAGUCCAGGGUUCAACCCUGGGAUGCCGGUCGAUACUGCCGGACUAGAGUCCGGAAGAGGCAAGUGGAAUUCCCGGUGUAGCGGUGAAAUGCGUAGAUAUCUGGAGGAACACCGGUGGCGAAGGCGCCCACCUGGCCUGCUACUGACGCUGAGGCUCGAAAGCUAGGGGAGCAAACGGGAUUAGAAA
rnacentral:rRNA from 1 species